UACAGAGGUCUCAAGCGUUGUUCGGAUUCAUUGGGCGUAAAGGGUGCGUAGGCUGUGAGGUAAGUCUGGUGUGAAAUCCCGGGGCUCAACCCCGGAACUGCACUGGAUACUGCUUUACUAGAGCACUGGAGAGGGAACUGGAAUUUACGGUGUAGCAGUGAAAUGCGUAGAUAUCGUAAGGAAGACCAGUGGCGAAGGCGAGUUCCUGGACAGUUGCUGACGCUGAGGCACGAAGGCCAGGGGAGCAAACGGG
rnacentral:rRNA from 2 species